CUAGGACUGGCACAAUUUUUUCUCUGAGACACUUGACUUUGAGAAGGGAAGUGCACAUCUGAGAAAAAUCUCUUUCCUAUUCAGAAGAGAGAAGGCUCAUGCUCAGACCCCAGGGACUUGGAGGCCCCAGCUCUUCCCUCUGUCUAGGUCUCUGAGCUUCCCCAGGAUCAUCUCAGAGGAAAAUGCCACAGACCUAAUUUUAAACUCAGGGAAAGCAAAGAUCAGAGACAUCGAACAAUAUUCUUGAGGUCACCACUUGAAAAUGGCACAUCUGGGCCUGGAAACCGGGGUCUCUGGCUGCUAGUGCUGAGCUCUUAGCCUGUUUCCUGACCCCCAGACUCAUAGUGCCUGAUGUGUCUGCUGACCUGUGGCCUCCAUGUAGCUGGGUUAGCAGCUGAAACAGGAAGACCCUCCUCCCAUGCUGGAGCCUCUGGUGGCCCGAGACACUGAAGAAGAGUGAGGGGAAGCCAGGCAGGUGCUCAGCACGAAGAGAGCCCGACUUCAGAGAGCAGUGAAGGCCUUGCCCUCAUGCCCAGGCUCCUACUGCUUUCAUCCAGCUCAUGUCUGAGCAUCUUUCUAUGAUAUUUGGUCCAAAUGGAGGAAGUCAGCACAACUCACCUGGGACUUUCCCUGUGUUCUGGAUGAUGCCCAGGUUUCCUGGAGCCGCCUGUUGGUACCAGAACACAAGAGAGACAGAGAAGAGUCUGAUGCCCCAUCCCAUUCACUCCAUCUCGCCAACGUGAUCUGUCCUUCAGUCUGAUCACUGCCCGUCACUGUCCAGUGCCAUAGACUUGUCACAAUUUUUCUUCCUUUUGUCUCUCUGGCACAAGCCUUUACCCAUCCUUCACAACCCAACUCCUCUGAGAUGUUCCCUAAGGAGUCCCCUCUCCUGGGCUCACGUCAACUGUGCUUGGAACAUCUCCAUUCCAUACUGCCCUUUCCUUCCCUGCAUUUGUUAGCUCCCUGUUUCUGCACCGGGCUACAGGUCCCCAGCAGCCUGACUUUGUCCAGUGGAACUCUGUUUCCCAGCCUGUUGGCUCAGCACGGACAGUGGGAGAACAGCUUGCACAUCUGAGCACAUUCAAAAGAGAUUCCUGACGUUUUUCUUGACAAAGUCCUCGAACUUUCCUGUUUGACUGGUGAGUUCAGCCAAUCAAUGGCAACACUGUCGUGGUAUUGUUUGUUGUUAAAUGCCCUUGUGAGCUGACAGACAUGGUCAGAGAGUGACUCCAGUGCAGAGAAAAUCACCCUUGUGGUCCUGCUUUCUCCACCACUGUCUUGCAGCCUCAACAACCAUGAUGUCACUUUGGUCUUCAUCUCCUGAAUAGUCACAUGGAGCAAAAUGGUACCCAAGGUGGCUAUAUUCAUUUACUAGGGCAACUGUGGCAAAGUACCAGAAAAUGGAUAGAUUAAUACACAUGGUGUUGUCCUGGUCCUGGAGACAUGAGUCAGAAGGGAAGAUCUUAGGGCUCCUCCAGAAAGCUAUGGGUAGGGCCCCUGGCAGGCCACUUCCAACUGCUGUUAGUUUACUGUCAAUCGUUGGCAUCUCUCAGUAGAAACAUCACACCGGUCUCAGGCUUCAGGCCCAUGUGGGGGCUCACUCUUCACUUUGCGUGUUGGUUUCUGACCCCCUUUCUUAUAAAGACACUAAGAUGUUAGGUCAGUGACCUGGUUUUAUACGAUUACUCCUGUAAAAAGCCUGCCUCCAAACAAGGUGCUGCUUUAGGAAGUUGAUGGGACCUUUAAAGUGACGGUGAGUUGACUGCUAAACAGAUUGCAGAGCCCACAGUCGUCUAGGAAGUCUGGAGAAACAAUGGGCCCAAGUGACUUUCCGUGUGUGUGUGUGUGUGUGUGUGUGUGUGUGUGUGUGUGUGUGUCUGUCUGCCUGUCUGUCUGUCUGUCUGUGUGUCCCACUCACUGUGCCACAGGGCUUCUUGGUACUCCUGGAGUCUCAGUGGGACAGAUGCCAAGAACGUUCCAGAAAAUGACUACCUCCCAAUUCAGAGGAACAAGAAAUGAGAGCAAGAGGCAGGGGAAAUAGAAGGGGGGAUGGAAAGAGGGAAGAACAAGGAGAGGGGGACACAUCUAAGCAGCCUUUCCAUAAAGGUAAUGGAACUUACGCCCUUAGAGCUUCUAUGAUUUUUAAAGGCCUCCACUUAAUGUGUGUUCUUAAAUCCAGGCUCCUUUUGCGAGAGCUGUAAGAUCUGCACUCCUCAGAACCUGGUCUUGCCUUGCUCUUGGGAAAGGUUUUGAACUAUCCUUGUUGGCUCACGUGGGACAUGAAUACUUCUGCCUCCCCUCAAUGCAGGCAGGCCUCUAUAUCUCUGGGUUCUUCAGCUGUAAACCCAACCGAACGUGAAUCAAAGAAUUUGAAAACUACAUCUGCAGUGAAUGUGGACAAACUCUUGUCCUUCCUCACUAAACAGUGUGACAGCCGUUGGCCCCGCAUUUCUAUGGUUUUGGGUGUCAAACGUAACCUAGAGAUGAUAAGCACGCAAGAGGACAUGUUUUCUGGGGUGUCUCACUUUGGGUAUUGACAAACGGUUUUGUCAUCUACAAGUAUGCAAGGCCACUUUCAUAGCUCUCCUGGGGUGAAUUCCCCACGGGGCUGCAGGUUGGACCUGUCUGACACUGUAGGCUUUAUAUAGCUCCAGUUCCCUCUUGGAAUAAAACAGUAGGGUACGUAUGGGCGUCUGAGGUACCUGCACCUGUCUUCCUCUCGAGGAAAAUAUUCACCUGUGUUUGCUUAAGCAAACGUCAGGAAUAAACCCCCUUCCCAGUGUGCCCCACCUGUGUACGCACGGCAGCUUCAUGUCUUAGACACGCAUCUGGUUAUAAUCCCCCGAGAAACACAGAGUCCAGGCCCAGGACACACACCAGCUAGAGUGAGGGGGUUGUGGGAAGUUGUGGACUUGCUGCCAGGUGGCCAUCAGCUUCAGGGAUGAGGUGACGCUGGCUGGGGACGCAGAGAGCAGGGUGGCCAACCUGAGUGACAGUUUGGCCCUCUCCUGCAGACGGUAGCAGGAACGCUAACGGAAGACACCCUCCUGAGGGAAACGUACCCUCAGCUGUCUUCCAUUCUCUCGGCCUCUUUCUUCCGAACUAGCGCUGCUGCGGGCCAGCUGGCUCCUCACCUGCAGGCAGCUAGCCUGGCGGUGCCGGUGCCGGUUGAUACCUGUUGUCGACUGACCAACUUGUCAACUAUCUCGUUUCUGAAAAAUGUUUUUAUGUUUAUUGUGCACUUGCCCCAGGGUACACAGUGUCCGCUUGAAUUUCCCUUUCUCCUGCAUGAGACUCGUUAGUGCCCUGUGAGCAACAUAACUGGUGUCAUAAUCUUCCCUCAGCUCAUACCCCAGGGUUCAGAAGGCUCAAGAUAACGGUGCUGUCCGCAUCAGUGUGCCGACCACUGUGUCUCUCACACGGGCCAGCACUCCUGGGUGCCAAAGCCAACACCAUGCUGUCCUUAAGACGACUAGGUUGAGAGAUAAUUGCAACUGGGCCUGGUAUGCACUACCCUGAAAUCCCAGUCACUCAACAGGCAGGGGAAGAACACUUUGCAAGUUCAAGACCUGCCUGUGCUAGAGUGAGCUCAAGGCCAGCCUGGGCAAGUUAUCGAGAACAUGCUGUCUCAAAGUACAGUCAGACAAGAUAUAUAACUGAAGGGCUCUGAGGAUUUCAGGUUCAACACCAGAAAAAAUGCAAAAGAGGGGCGGGAGGGAGGAGUGUUUGAUGGCUGAUGUAAUAGUUUCGGAAACCCCACCUGAAAUCACAGUUAGGAAAUCUACGCGGUAUGGGGAAUGGUCAGCCCCGCUGUGCAGAUGAAAGCAUACAGCAUAAGGAACAAUGGCUCACUCAACACUCUACGGCUUCAGACAUACAUGGCAGGGCAUGGAAACCGAACCCUGGCUGAGUAAGGCUGAUCUUGGUUUAUAAAGGGGGACUCUGCAAGGCCACAUGAGUGGCCAGGCCUCUCCCCCAAGGACCUCCAACUGCCAGGUUCCACCCACAGGACACUAACUGCCCUAAUAGCUGGACCCUGCCCCCACCCUGCAGAGAGAAAAAGCCCAGGCUAUGGAUGUGAAAUCCCAAUCUCCACCCUGAAAAGUUCCACCCGCUUCCCAAGAAACUCUCUAUAAGCCCUGUACCCUGUUCAGUUUGCUGCUGCUUCUCACCCGAGCAGACGCAGCUACCGUCGUGUUCUCCCCCUGCCAAUAAAUCUCUUGUGUG